rnacentral:rRNA from 1 species
GUGAAUACGCGUGGGAACGUGCCUUCUGGUUCGGAAUAACCCUGGGAAACUAGGGCUAAUACCGGAUACGCCCUUUUGGGGAAAGGUUUACUGCCGGAAGAUCGGCCCGCGUCUGAUUAGCUAGUUGGUGGGGUAACGGCCUACCAAGGCGACGAUCAGUAGCUGGUCUGAGAGGAUGAUCAGCCACACUGGGACUGAGACACGGCCCAGACUCCUACGGGAGGCAGCAGUGGGGAAUAUUGGACAAUGGGCGCAAGCCUGAUCCAGCCAUGCCGCGUGAGUGAUGAAGGCCUUAGGGUUGUAAAGCUCUUUUAUCCGGGACGAUAAUGACGGUACCGGAGGAAUAAGCCCCGGCUAACUUCGUGCCAGCAGCCGCGGUAAUACGAAGGGGGCUAGCGUUGCUCGGAAUCACUGGGCGUAAAGGGCGCGUAGGCGGCGUUUUAAGUCGGGGGUGAAAGCCUGUGGCUCAACCACAGAAUGGCCUUCGAUACUGGGACGCUUGAGUAUGGUAGAGGUUGGUGGAACUGCGAGUGUAGAGGUGAAAUUCGUAGAUAUUCGCAAGAACACCGGUGGCGAAGGCGGCCAACUGGACCAUCACUGACGCUGAGGCGCGAAAGCGUGGGGAGCAAACAG